rnacentral:lncRNA from 1 species
GUUAAAAUUAAAAAUAGCUUCCACUAAUAGAGGAUCUUCUAUGCACAAAGCAGUACCAGAAAUUUAUAGUGGGUACCGUAAUCCUAUAAAAUGGGGAUUAUCAGCAUUUACAGAGGAGGAGACAGGCUCAGAGGCCAAGCAACUUUACCAAGGCCAUACAGCUGGUAAAGACCCUAUGAAGUUGCAGGCCUUGAUGCCAAAACCCAUACUAUAAAACAUGGGGCUUACUGCCCUUAGUUCCUCUAUGAUAGCAAAAUAAUAGGGUAAUAAUAAGAAGAAGCAUUUGCUGAAUGCAUAUUAUGUGCCAGGCACUGUGGUAUUUCACAUAAUCUCAAAGCAUGUCCAUGAAUGGGUAUAACUCUAUAGCUCCAUUUUAUAGGUGGUCACACUGAGGCUCAGAGAAAUUAAGUACAAGUCCAGCAGCUAUGGAAAACCUGAGUUCUUUCAUCCGGGUCAUUUGGCUGUGAUCCACUUCACUGGGGCAGCCUUUCACCACAAUCUCACCUGGGGGCUGAAAUCCAGGCUCUGGGGUCUGUGGCCUUUGGUCUUUGUUAGCUUCUGCUGGGCGGAAGCCCACUGUGACCAGGGCAAGCUGUACAGCAGCAGCCUCAGUCCCAAGCCAGUGAAGUCUGGACGUACUCAUGGUCCCAUUAUACCUGGGGUGAUCUUGUGGGACUCAGAGAAUAAGGUAUCUGAAUCAAGGUAUUUUGAGGUACAAACCACAGAAAUCUACUCAGACUCACAGGAGAAGCCAAAGAACAAGUUUAUUAUAAGGAUUUGGGGUAGGACAUGGAUUCAAGGGCAGGGAAUACCAUUGUCCGUAACAAGGGGUGGAACCAGAAACUGGGCAAUAGUUAGAAAUCAAGGCUUUUCCUCCCUCCUGGUGGCAGAGUGGUCUCUCCUCUGCUCCUCUCUGAGCAUCCUUGUUUUCUCUCUCAGGAGCAGUCUUCCCUGGUGCUGCUCCUUUAAUACUUCUCUAGUUUUCCAAGGAGCCCCUGGCUCAGCCACUCCGGAGGCACUCCUCAAUACAUCUGCUCCUGUUUGGAAUUCAGGGGAGAGAGAGAAGGAGGAGGAGGGGAGAGAGAGGAAGAGGGAGAAAGAGAGAUGGAGGGAAGGAGGGGAAGGAAAAGAGGGAGAGGGAGGGGGAGAGGAAGAGGGGGUGAGGGGAGGGAGAGAGAGAAGUGGUGGAGAGGGAGAGAG